GAUGAACGCUAGCUACAGGCUUAACACAUGCAAGUCGAGGGGAAACGAUGAGAGAGCUUGCUCUCUUAGGCGUCGACCGGCGCACGGGUGAGUAACGCGUAUCCAACCUACCCAUUACAGGGGGAUAACCUUGCGAAAGUAAGACUAAUACCCCAUGGCAGUUUAUGGUGGCAUCAUUAUAGGAUUAAAGAUUUAUUGGUAAUGGAUGGGGAUGCGUCUGAUUAGCUUGUUGGCGGGGUAACGGCCCACCAAGGCAACGAUCAGUAGGGGUUCUGAGAGGGAGGUCCCCCACAUUGGAACUGAGACACGGUCCAAACUCCUACGGGAGGCAGCAGUGAGGAAUAUUGGUCAAUGGGCGAGAGCUUGAACCAGCCAAGUAGCGUGCAGGAUGACGGCCCUAUGGGUUGUAAACUGCUUUUAGAGGGGAAUAAAGUGAGCUACGUGUAGUUUAUUGCAUGUACCCUAUGAAUAAGGACCGGCUAAUUCCGUG
rnacentral:rRNA from 1 species